AUAAAAAUACCCAAAACACUUAAUAGGGCAUCAAAGUAAUUUAAUAAUUAAUAUUAAAUUCAAUAAGGCCAGCUGUCAUUUUUUGGAUUUUUUUUGGGUUUGUUUAUAGAAAUUCAAUUGUGUAGGGUUUAUUUAUAAUAUUAGUGCUAGAAAUGAGUAUAUCACUAAAUAUCUCAAAGGUAAUCAUUAAUGGAAGUAGGAUUGAGAACAAACAUAUAUAUAUAUAUAUAUAUAUAUAUAUUUUUGGGACAAGUGAUAGCUAAAUUACAAGGAAGGAGAUUUUUCACACACACAACUAUGAUGCUGUGGGAAUUCGAAUAUGAGAUCACUAGUCUGCAAGUCAAGCUAAAUACUUUUUUUUUAUUGUUAGUUUUUUAUUUUUUUAUUUUAAUACUAACGAUAUUGAAUGAAGAAGAAUUGAAUUUAGAACUUCGAAUAUAAAGAUAAAUGCUCAUAACCACUUGAAUUAAAAGCCCUUGCAAUAUAAUAGGGUUAAGACAAGGAACUGUUAAUGAACAUUUUGCUUCUUGUUGUGGUCUCUAAUUAAGGUCUUGCGUGAGCUUUGAGACCAAAUAGAAAAAUGUGUUUCGGAGGCAAAUAUUCUUGGAGGCACGUCGGAAAUUGCAAAUGCGUCGCAGUCAUGGAAUUGCUUUUGACUAUUUGUUUUCUUCUCUCUGUUUUCAGGCCUUGAGCCACAUGCCUUACUCCUUUCUUUCGCUUUCCCCUUUCACAUCAUCCAAAGUUACAUAUUAGUCGAUAAAUUUAUUAAAGAUAUAAGCACUAUUAAGGUAAAUUAGAUUAGACUUAUCCAAAAUUAGUAUUCAUCAGCCUAUUCCCACACCCAACACACGUGCGAAAAUUUUCUGGCAAUUGACAAAAUAGAAAAUGUUUUCCUACUUUUUUGUCACUUAUAUUCUCUUUGUUGGAAAUUGUUUUCCCAUUCAUAUUUUGCUCACUUACUCUUCAUUGUAUGUUACAAUAAAAAAUAUUAAAAAAAAAAAUGUAAGUGGACAAAAGAGAAGUAGGAAAAUCAACAUCCUAUCGUUUU
rnacentral:lncRNA from 1 species